rnacentral:misc_RNA from 1 species
AAAGUCGUAACAAGGUUUCCGUAGGUGAACCUGCGGAAGGAUCAUUAUUGUUUUGGGGAAAACUAAAACCCCACUAGGUGUCAAGCUAGUGGAGGGAGCUUGGCACUGAGGGCCCUGAAGAAAGAGGGAUUCCUUCAACCUUGCCGUUUUUUGCGCACCCUUUGUUUCCUCGGCAGCUUCGCCUGCCAACGAGGACCUCCUUAAAACCUUUUGCAAUCAGUAUAACGUUCUGAAAACAAACAAUAUUAAAACUUUCAACAAUGGAUCUCUUGGCUCUG